rnacentral:rRNA from 1 species
AGCGAACGCUGGCGGCAGGCCUAACACAUGCAAGUCGAACGGCAGCACGGACUUCGGUCUGGUGGCGAGUGGCGAACGGGUGAGUAAUACAUCGGAACGUGCCCAGUUGUGGGGGAUAACUACUCGAAAGAGUAGCUAAUACCGCAUGAGAACUGAGGUUGAAAGCAGGGGAUCGUAAGACCUUGCGCAAUUGGAGCGGCCGAUGGCAGAUUAGGUAGUUGGUGGGAUAAAAGCUUACCAAGCCGACGAUCGGUAGCUGGUCUGAGAGGACGACCAGCCACACUGGGACUGAGACACGGCCCAAACUCCUACGGGAGGCAGCAUUGGGGAAUUUUGGACAAUGGGCGAAAGCCUGAUCCAGCAAUGCCGCGUGCAGGAUGAAGGCCUUCGGGUUGUAAACUGCUUUUGUACGGAACGAAAAGCUUCGGGCUAAUACCCUGGAGUCAUGACGGCACCGUAAGAAUAAGCACCGGCUAACUACGUGCCAGCAGCCGCCGUAACAC